rnacentral:lncRNA from 1 species
AGCAGAGGAAACUAAUCUGACUAGGAACCAUGAGGUUGCAGAUUCCAUCCCUGGCCUUGCUUAUGGGUUAAGUACCUGGCAUUGCCAUGAGCUGUGGUGUAUGUCACAGAGGCUCCUCAGAACCUAUGUUACUGUGGCCGUGGUGUAGGCCAGCAGCUGCAGCUCCAAUUAGACCCAAGCCUGGGAAUUCCCAAAUGCCACUGGUGCAGCCAUAAAAAGCAAAAAGCAAAAAGCAAAAAAAAAAAAAAAAAAUACUAGCCAUCCUAAAUAAUAUCCUAGGUGUAGUAUUGGUUAUAAGUUUAAUUUUCAUGAUUAAAGUAAAUAUGUUCUUUUCCUUUUAAAAUUAUUUCUCAGUUUUGUCUUUUAAAAUAUUUAUCUGAAUUUUUGUUUUAACUAUAAAGUGUUACUUAUUUUCUGUAAGAGCCAUUGAUGAAUAUUUGGAUACCAGUUUUACCAUUUAGUUUCAGUCUGUAAUAUAAAUUUGAUUAAAAUAGCAUGGCAUUGACACAGAGAUUUACAUAAAUGCAAACAGUAUGCAACUAGUUAUACUUUGUAUGUAUCAUUUAAUAGAAAUUAUAGUUUGUAUGGUUUGCUUUCUAAUAAUGAGUCAUAAGGCUAAUUGAUUAUUUCAUGUAUCAUUUAAUAGAAAUUAUAGUUUGUAUGGUUUGCUUUCUAAUAAUGAGUCAUAAGGCUAAUGGUGGAAAUGAAAUGCUUCUUUAAUUGUUCUAUAUUGAGCAUAGAUAUACAUAUGUGGGAAAUGAUUGAAUUUGGACCUUAGUACAGUAAUUGAUUAUUUCAUAUUAAUCAUUUUUUUCUUAAAAAACAAAAUAUUUAAUCAAUGGGUUGGUCUUUUAUAUUUAGCUGUGUGAACUAAUUAAUUAAAUACAAUUUUUUUAUAUCUAUGCUUAAUUGAUUUUUAUUAAUUGGAAAAAGGGUCCAUUUGUUACUAUUUUUAGAGAUCUCCCAUAGAUAAAAAGUAAUUACAAUAUUUACAUUUGUUGAAGAGACUAUCCAAAUGAUUUUAUAUUUAAAAAAAAUAUACUUCUUAAAAGCAUAAUCCUGGUACUAAAAUGAAUGAAUCCUGUCUCAAUAGGAAUUUACACUCUCCUUCUAGAAAUUCAUACUCUAUGCAUUCUCCAAACCACUUGUGAACAUUUUACCUCAUUUGAAUUGAUUGCUAACCUGCGGAUAGUUCUGAGGAUCUAUUCUUGGCUGCGUUGGGAGAAGAAAUGCCGUGGGUUUUACUGAAAUAGGUGCUAUGAGGGGUAACCAUGUCCCCAGUUCUACCAUAGCCUUGGAUACUGCAAUCUUUUUGUUUGUGUGUUUUGUUAUCUGUGCUUAACGGUUAAAAGCCUGGAUCCUGGAGGUAGACAGGCCUGAAUUUAAAUCUGGUUCCAAUAAUAUUGGGUAUAUAGUUUAAGAGAAAUUAAGUUUUGAGACUAAAUUUCUUCUUAAACAUAUUCAUAAAACAUGUAUAUCAGAAUACAUAAUAUAAAGUGACUAGCAAACAAACAUUUAAUGGGCAUGUAUUUUUUAUUUCUGUUGUCAUGGCUAUUUAUCAAUGUUUAUUUCUAAUAUAUUGUAAUAUAUUGACUUUUAAAACUGCUUAAUCCUUCUCUUCCCCUUAAAUUAAUCCAUGAUAUUAUAACUUGGAAAAUAUCACCAUUUCACUGUUCUAUUUUUUAAAAUUUCUCCCUUUUCCUAAUCCAUCCCAUUUUUGAGUCAUUUGUCAUUUUCUAUACAUCCAAGCAGGAAAACCCCUUAAUAUCUGUUUCCAACAUGUUUUUCAUAUUUUUUCUUGAUAUACUUAAGGAACUGUUGCUAAAUAAUUUUGGAGUUCUCUUGUGGUGCAGCAGGUUAAAGAUCUGGCAUUGCCCCUGCAGAGGCUUGGGUCGUGCUGUGGCAUGGAUUUGAUCCCUGGCCUGGGCUUUCACAUGCGAUGGCCACAGCUAAAAAAAAAAUGGCUAGAGUAGCUACAUGCUAAAUUUUGACCAAGAUAAAAUGCAGCAAUUACUAAGACAAGUUGAGUUCAAGCCCUUUCAUUACUUGAAGAGGAGUCACAAGAAUAACAUUGAAAAAAUUGCUCAUUGAAAUUAUAUUUAACAAGGACAAUAAACAAUGUCAUAGCAACAUAUCCUGAUCCAAAAAUUUUAGAAUUUAUAUCAGGGAAAAGUAUUUCUUGAUCAAGAAACACUACAUAAUUGGGAGGUAUGCUAAUGGACAAUUACUUGGAUAUCUGAUGCAAAAACGGAUUCAAAGUAUUGAGAAUUAAAACAAGAAAUGCAACAAAAUAAUUUAUUUGACUUGUGAUUACUAUUUCCUUAUUGUUAUGUAGCAUAUUAUUUCUACAUUAAACACUGUAGGAAUCUAGGGGGUGCUGUACAUUGCUUGAAAGUCCAGUCUACCUAAGUAGACAAAUGGACAUUUGCUGCGCCAAGAGGCUGACUCAAACUUUCUCAUUGCUUUUCCAGCAAGAGUUGGGAAGGACAUCUAUCUGCCACAUCUAGAAAUUCAGACACACACCUAGUAUGUGCCCUGCAAGGUGUGUGGUGGUAAUCCAACACUGGCUUUAAAAAUCUUAAAACACAUUAAAAUCUUAAGAGGGUAAUAUCCAGAGUUACGCUGUAUGACAUA